rnacentral:tRNA from 1 species
AAGAUACUAGUAAAAUAAUUAAUACACUGCUUUGUCAAGGCAGAGGCGUGGGUUAAAACCCCACGUAUCUUA